AGUAGAGUAAGCUAAGUCUAAGCUAUUGGGUUCAUACCCCAGCAAUGAAUAUAAAUUCCUCUACUA
rnacentral:tRNA from 1 species